AGUGAACGCUGGCGGUAGGCCUAACACGUGCAAGUCGAACGGCAGCACAGUAAGAGCUUGCUCUUACGGGUGGCGAGUGGCGGACGGGUGAGGAAUACAUCGGAAUCUACUUUUUCGUGGGGGAUAACGUAGGGAAACUUACGCUAAUACCGCAUACGACCUACGGGUGAAAGCAGGGGAUCUUCGGACCUUGCGCGAUUGAAUGAGCCGAUGUCGGAUUAGCUAGUUGGCGGGGUAAAGGCCCACCAAGGCGACGAUCCGUAGCUGGUCUGAGAGGAUGAGCAGCCACACUGGAACUGAGACACGGUCCAGACUCCUACGGGAGGCAGCAGUGGGGAAUAUUGGACAAUGGGCGCAAGCCUGAUCCAGCCAUACCGCGUGGGUGAAGAAGGCCUUCGGGUUGUAAAGCCCUUUUGUUUGGAAAGAAAAGCAGCAGGUUAAUACCCCGCUGUUCUGACGGUACCCAAAGAAUAAGCACCGGCUAACUUCGUG
rnacentral:rRNA from 1 species